rnacentral:rRNA from 1 species
GACGAACCGUGCGAACGUUGUUCGGAUUCACUGGGCUUAAAGGGCGCGUAGGCGGACUCGCAAGUCUGUGGUGAAAUCCCCCAGCUCAACUGGGGAAGUGCCGUGGAUACUGCAAGUCUGGAGGAGGGUAGGGGCAUCUGGAACGCUGGGUGGAGCGGUGAAAUGCGUUGAUAUCAGGAGGAACACCGGUGGCGAAGGCGGUUCUCUGGGCAUGUCCUGACGCUGAGAAGCGAAAGUGUGGGGAGCGAACAGG